rnacentral:tRNA from 1 species
UCUAAUAUGGCAGAUUAGUGCAACAAUUUUAAGCAUUGUUUAUAAAGUUUCAUCUUUUGUUAGAA